AGCACAAAGCAGCAAAGGUAGAGCGACAUAGACAGUGGCAGUCAGGGGGGAGAGAGAGAGAGAGCGAGAAAAAGAGAGCGAGAGAGAGAGGAGCGGUGCCUCUUUUCCUUUGUCUGAUGCUCUGUCUCGAGCUUUUUGGACACUACUUGAAGGGACGUCAUCAUGCUCACAGUACACUGGAACCUCGAACCCAACCGAUCCAUGUUCUUCAGCUGUUUGGGAGACAGACGGAGGAACUCCAGAGUCAUCUACGAAGAAGCUUUGAGGAUUAAGAGGCAGAACACUUUUAUUUUGGGAGAAGAUGAGGACUCAGGAUUUAAACCCCAGCUUUGCCUUGAGGGAGUCAUACUUGGAAAUUUAAAAACCUGGAUAUACUUUGGAGAUUAAAUAUUCAGCGCGAUGGAAGAGUAUUGAAUUUUGAUCCUACAUCGUAUAGUGCAAAAGAUGCAGCUUCAGAGCUAUGAAUCCACAUCUCAACGUUGGAUAGCGAAGA